UACAGAGGUGCCAAGCGUUAGGCGGAAUCACUGGGCUUAAAGCGUGUGUAGGUGGAUGUCUAAGUACCUUGUGAAAUCCCACGGCUCAACCGUGGAACUGCUCGGUAUACUGGAUGUCUUGAGCCACUUAGGGGCUACCGGAACAAAUGGUGGAGCGGUGAAAUGCGUAGAUAUCAUUUGGAACGCCAAUGGUGAAAACAGGUAGCUGGGAGUGUGCUGACACUGAGACACGAAAGCCAGGGGAGCGAACGGG
rnacentral:rRNA from 1 species